CCUGACCCUGCAGCUCUGGGACAGGAGCCCAGCCCAGGAUUCCCACGUGCCUCCACUCCCUGCUCAGGACAGAACACAGACCUCUCACCAUGGAGUCUGGGCUCAGAUGGAUUUUCCUUGCUGCUAUUCUAAGAGGUGUCCAGUGUGAUGUGCAACUGGUGGAGUCUAGAGGAGGCUUGGUGCAGCCUGGGGGGUCUCUGAGACUCUCCCGUGUAGCCUCUGGAUUCACCUUCAGUAGCUACAGAAUGAACUGGGUCUUCCAGGCACCCGGGAAGGGGCUGCAGUGGGUGGCAGUUAUAUGGAGUGAUGGAAGUCAGAAGUACUAUGCAGACUCUGUGAAAGGCCGAUUCACCAUCUCCAGAGACAAUGCAAAAAGCAUGCUGUACCUGCAAAUGAACAGCCUGAAACUCGAAGACACGGCCAUGUAUUACUGUGUGAGAGACACAGUGAGGGGAAGUCAGUGUGAGUCCAGACAAAAACUUCCCUGCUGGAGACAGAAGGCCUGGGCUGCACAGAGCACCCAAGACACCAGGGGGUGCUCAGGACCCACAGUGAUAGAGCUUAGUGAAGGAUAUUUCUUUGCCGGAUCUUGGACAGAUGCAGUGGUCCGGGUCUUGCAGGUGUGA